rnacentral:tRNA from 1 species
ACUUAAAUAGUUUAUUUAAAAUAUUGAUUUGUGGUGUCAAAGAAAUAAAAUUAAUUUAUUUUAAGUU